rnacentral:rRNA from 1 species
CGGCGAGUGAAGCGGUAACAGCUCAAAUUUGAAAUCUGGGUCUUUCAGGCUCCGAGUUGUAAUUUGUAGAAGAUGCUUCGGGUGCGGCUCCGGUCUAAGUUCCUUGGAACAGGACGUCAUAGAGGGUGAGAAUCCCGUAUGUGAUCGGUUGCUUGCGCCCAUGUGAAGCUCUUUCGACGAGUCGAGUUGUUUGGGAAUGCAGCUCAAAAUGGGUGGUAAAUUUCAUCUAAAGCUAAAUAUUGGCCAGAGACCGAUAGCGCACAAGUAGAGUGAUCGAAAGAUGAAAAGCACUUUGGAAAGAGAGUUAAACAGUACGUGAAAUUGUUGAAAGGGAAGCGCUUGCAACCAGACUUGCGCGUUGCCGAUCAUCUGGGGUUCUCCCCAGUGCACUCGGCCUCGCUCAGGCCAGCAUCGGUUUCGGUGGUGGGAUAAAGGCCUUGGGAAUGUAGCUUCUUUCGGGGAGUGUUAUAGCCCUCGGUGCAAUGCCGCCUACCGGGACCGAGGACCGCGCUUCGGCUAGGAUGCUGGCGUAAUGGUUGUAAGCGACCCGUCUUGAAACACGGACCAAGGAGUCUAACAUCUAUGCGAGUGUUUGGGUGUCAAACCCAUACGCGUAAUGAAAGUGAACGGAGGUGAGAACCCUUAAGGGUGCAUCAUCGACCGAUCCUGAUGUCUUCGGAUGGAUUUGAGUAAGAGCAUAGCUGUUGGGACCCGAAAGAUGGUGAACUAUGCCUGAAUAGGGUGAAGCCAGAGGAAACUCUGGUGGAGGCUCGCAGCGGUUCUGACGUGCAAAUCGAUCGUCAAAUUUGGGUAUAG